UUCCCCAAAAGCUAACCACAAAAACUCUAAUGCUCUUUUUCUGAUAACGAAACAAUUUCAAUGCCAAGUCAUGACUACUCCUAGAAAACAUCAUUUACCAGAGACGCAGUUCUACUUUCAUGUUCACUUUAAAUGAGCUUACAGACUCCUCAAUAACCUAAAAGCAAGACAGAGUUUCACCAAUACUGUAAAUAUGAUUUUUUUUAAAGAAGGAAGAGAGAAAUGGGAGACUUAUAAAGUAAGACUUGUAUGCUAAACACACAAACCAGAAGUAAUCCCCCUCGACCUUCCUUGGCUAGACUAACUCAAUUAGUUUCCCUAAACCACCACAGACACUUGCCAAGAUUAAAUAUUUGUGUUUAAUCAUUCAGAAAGUGAAAGAUUAUAUACUGUAAUGUAACACUUUUUACGGAAACCUCUAGUUGAGCAACAGUUCCAGAAAAAAAUUGUGAAAUGAAGUGAAAAGCUGUGCAGAACACCAUGCUUCCACUCAGUUAAUUCAAAAAAAUUGAACUUCAGAGCUAAGCACCAAGUUCCCUGCCCAUAGCAGGGGGCUGAAACUGGAUGAUGUUUAAGUCCCUUCCAACCCAAACAACUCUGUGAUUCUAUGAUAAGCUGAGACCUCAUUUUUAGCAUAUCAACAUUCUUGGAAGCGGCACGUUUCUAAAUGCAGCGCGUUUGAAAUUACUCCAGAAUAACAACCAUGGCUAAGAAGUUAUUAAAUAUUAUCAUUCCCUGGCCAGCAACUUGUGCUACAUGCAGAUAGCAUGACGGAACAAAUGUCAGGGCUAAUUUUCACCGUCUUGGCCGGCGCGCCGCACUAAUCCAGGUAUACAGUAACCGAAGGGAAAGUCGCAAUGAAAACACGCACAAGGCUGGGCACUACCUGUGCAAUCCCGGCUGACGCAGCGCACGAUGCAUGGAAAAAACUGCUCGUUUAUUCACCCGGGGGAGGCACAGCUCGGCCCGUUCCCCCCCGAGCAGCCCUCCGAGCGCGCCGCACGCCCCGGCCCUGCCUUUGUAACAUGGCAGGUCAGCGGCACAGCGCAGCCGAGUCGCGGGCAGCUCCCGCCCCGAGCACCGCCUGCCUCCGCGGGCCGGGGGUGCGCUUCUCCGAGCCGGCCGUGACCGCGGCUUCCCGGGAAGCGGAGAAAGUUUUUCCCCCACCUCCUACCGCGGCCCAGCGGAAAGUUACCGCCGGCCCUGCGCGCCCCUCAGCCUCGCGCCUCCCGGCCCCCGCCCCAGCCCGGCGCUGACAGCCCCGCCGCGGGCAGGGUCGCCCCUUCCCCGCCGGCCCAGGCUCGCGAUAGCGCCCGCCCCGCGAUAUCUCCUCAGUGACACCCCCCCCCCGACCGCCCCACCGCGGUGACAGCCCGGCUCCCCCCGCCGCCCCGCAGCACUCACCUCAGGCGGGGGCCGCGCUCCCCGGGGACGGGGGACGGCCGCCGGCGCCUCCUGUCCCCGGCGCCGAGGAGCGGGAGGGUGAAGGGGGAGAGCGCGCUCGGUCCCCGCGCCCUUAUCUCACCCUCGCGGCGCCCGACUCGCCUUCGCUGCCUACCCCGCCGUGUG
ensembl:lncRNA